rnacentral:rRNA from 1 species
CGUGCGGUUCUAUUUUGUUGGUUUCUAGGACCGCCGUAAUGAUUAAUAGGGAUAGUCGGGGGCGUCAGUAUUCAGCUGUCAGAGGUGAAAUUCUUGGAUUUGCUGAAGACUAUCUACUGCGAAAGCAUUCGCCAAGGAUGUUUUCAUUAAUCAGGGAACGAAAGUUAGGGGAUCGAAGACGAUCAGAUACCGUCGUAGUCUUAACCAUAAACUAUGCCGACUAGGGAUCGGACGGUGUUUCUAUUAUGACCCGUUCGGCACCUUACGAGAAAUCAAAGUUUUUGGGUUCUGGGGGGAGUAUGGUCGCAAGGCUGAAACUUAAAGAAAUUGACGGAAGGGCACCACCAGGAGUGGAGCCUGCGGCUUAAUUUGAUUCAACACGG